CAACUAUGAUCAGUCAGUUUUGAAAUGUAAUGAGGUUUCUGUAGGUAAAUUUCCCUAUUAAUUCCAGUUUUAUUAUAGUAAAUGGAAUAUAGAAAUUUUAAUCUCAGUUUAUUGCGGCGGACAGAGGAGAUUCCCAUCCUAGCUCAGCCUUCAUAGCAGUGCAGUUCUCCGUCCUUCCGUACCGCCCCAAGACGAACCUGGCAGCACGGUUCUGUAUUUUUUCUAGAGUGGCAAUGAAGGUUACCUCGUGGGGGUCCCACACAACACAGCCAUAUUCUAAGAGUGGUCGAACACAAGUUGUAUAUGCCAUACGUUUUAAAUUCGCAUGUGAACAUCGCAGGUUUCUCUGAAUGAAAUUCAAAGCUUUACCAGCUUUGGCUAUGAUACUGUCUACCUGAGGUUUCCACGAACAUUCAGACGACAGUAGCACACCUAAGUACUUAUACGUACUGCCUUGCUUCAAUAGUACAUUGUUCAGAUGAUACCGUGACUGAAUUGGUUUCUUCUUUUUAGUAAAUGAGAGAUGUA
rnacentral:lncRNA from 1 species